rnacentral:rRNA from 1 species
UUCGGUGGCAAUAGCGGAGGGGCCACACCUGUUCCCAUUCCGAACACAGCAGUUAAGCCCUCCAGCGCCCAUGGUACUGCGAGGGCGACCUCGUGGGAGAGUAGGUCGUUGCCGGAG